GGGGUUGUAGCUCAGUGGUAGAGCUCUUGCAUCAUAUGCGUGAGGCCCUGGGUUCGAUCCUCAUCAGCACCA
rnacentral:tRNA from 1 species